AGAGUUUGAUCCUGGCUCAGAACGAACGCUGGCGGCGUGCUUAACACAUGCAAGUCGAGCGUGAAAGUCCCUUCGGGGGCAAGUAAAGCGGCGGACGGGUGAGUAAUACAUAGGUAAUCUACCUUCGAGAUUGGGAUAACUUUGCGAAAGUGAAGCUAAUACCGGAUAAGACCACGUAUCGUAAGCUACGAGGUAAAAGGUGGCUUGUAUUUAUACAUGCUAUCACUUGAGGAUGAGCCUAUGGCCUAUCAGCUUGUUGGCGGGGUAAGAGCCCACCAAGGCUAUGACGGGUAGUUGGUCUGAGAGGACGACCAACCACACUGGGACUGAGACACGGCCCAGACUCCUACGGGAGGCAGCAGUGGGGAAUAUUGGGCAAUGGGCGAAAGCCUGACCCAGCGACGCCGCGUGGGUGAUGAAGGCCUUCGGGUUGUAAAGCCCUGUCAUGCGGAAAGAACAGUCUUACAGUUAAUACCCGUGAGAUUUGACGGUACCGCAGGAGGAAGCACCGGCUAACUCCGUGCCAGCAGCCGCGGUAAUACGGAGGGUGCAAGCGUUGUUCGGAAUUAUUGGGCGUAAAGGACGCGUAGGCGGUAAUGAAAGUCAGAUGUGAAAUACUUCGGCUCAACUGAAGAACUGCAUCUGAAACUUCAUAACUAGAGUACAGAAGAGGGAAACGGAAUUCCCGGUGUAGAGGUGAAAUUCGUAGAUAUCGGGAGGAACACCAGUGGCGAAGGCGGUUUCCUGGUCUGAUACUGACGCUGAGGCGUGAAAGUGUGGGGAGCAAACAGGAUUAGAUACCCUGGUAGUCC
rnacentral:rRNA from 1 species